rnacentral:rRNA from 1 species
CCUACGGGAGGCAGCAGUGAGGAAUAUUGGUCAAUGGCCGGAAGGCUGAACCAGCCAUGCCGCGUGAAGGUCAGUGCCCUAUGGGCGUUAAACUUCUUUUGUGCGGGAGCAAUAAUGGUAACGUGUGGCCAGACGAGAGUACCGUACGAAUAAGCAUCGGCUAACUCCGUGCCAGCAGCCGCGGUAAUAAUGGGGAUGCAAGCGUUAUCCGGAUUUAUUGGGUUUAAAGGGGGCGUAGGCUGUGAGGUAAGUCAGCGGUGAAAUGCCCCCGCUCAACGGGGUGAAGUGCCAUUGAUACUGCCUGGCUGGAAUGCGGAUGCCGUGGGAGGAAUGUGUGGUGUAGCGGUGAAAUGCAUAGAUAUCACACAGAACACCGAUUGCGAAGGCAUCUCACGAAUCCGCGAUUGACGCUGAUGCACGAAAGCGUGGGUAUCAAACAGGAUUAGAUACCCGAGUAGUC